GCUCUCAAGUCUGCUCAAGCUCUCAAGUCUGGUUCAACCGUCCUGCAGGUUUUGACCCUUUUACUGGCCCUAGAUUUCGGAUUCAAGUCUGCUCCCCUGGUGUGUUGCAUUUCUGGAUUGGGCCCCAUGCGUAUGACCCUGGCCUGGAUUUCACAAGAGUCUUCACUGCCCUCCCUCUCCAUAUUGACACCCCAAAGUCUACUCUCCAGGAGACUACCCUGUGCAUCUGGCAGCAACACGUUUUCCACGCCACCUUGAGCAUAAUAAACUGUAUAUCUAGCUCUCA